CGGGCGUAGCAAUACGUCAGUGGCGGACGGGUGAGUAACACGUGGGAAUAUGCCUUUCGGUUCGGAACAACUCGGGGAAACCCGUGCUAAUUCCGGAUACGCCCUUACGGGGAAAGAUUUAUCGCCGAAAGAUUAGCCCGCGUUGGAUUAGCUAGUUGGUGAGGUAAAGGCUCACCAAGGCGACGAUCCAUAGCUGGUUUGAGAGAACGACCAGCCACACUGGGACUGAGACACGGCCCAGACUCCUACGGGAGGCAGCAGUGGGGAAUCUUGGACAAUGGGCGCAAGCCUGAUCCAGCCAUGCCGCGUGAGUGAUGAAGGCCUUCGGGUUGUAAAACUCUUUUGGCGGGGACGAUAAUGACGGUACCCGCAGAAUAAGCUCCGGCUAACUUCGUGCCAGCAGCCGCGGUAAUACGAAGGGGGCUAGCGUUGUUCGGAAUUACUGGGCGUAAAGCGUGCGCAGGCGGCUUCUCAAGUCAGGGGUGAAAGCCCAGAGCUCAACUCUGGAAUUGCCUUUGAGACUGAGAGGCUUGAGUACGGGAGAGGUGAGUGGAAUUCCCAGUGUAGAGGUGAAAUUCGUAGAUAUUGGGAAGAACACCGGUGGCGAAGGCGGCUCACUGGCCCGAAACUGACGCUCAUGCACGACAGCGUGGGGAUCAAACAGGAUUAGAUACCCUGGUAGUCCACGCCGUAAACUAUGAACGCUAGCCGUUGGCAGGCUUGCCUGUCAGUGGCGCAGCUAACGCAUUAAGCGUUCCGCCUGGGGAGUACGGCCGCAAGGUUGAAACUC
rnacentral:rRNA from 1 species